rnacentral:lncRNA from 1 species
AUGGGCCAGUGGGAGGCAGGCCGACUCUCCAGUCUAUACAAAGGAAUGGACCAGGCUGUGUGCCGUGUUCUCCUUGACUCCGCUGGGGUGGCCCAGAAGAGCCUUGUCUUGCUGUUGUGGAUGUCACCUCUGCCAAGUUCUCCUGCUAAGAUGUCACUCCACAUCCUCAGUUGUGACAGCCAAACAUACGGGAGGCUCCGGGGCGCGGGGCAGACUUUCUUCAGCUCUCAUGCACGUGCUAGGGUUGGCAACUUCUGGAGUUCCUACCUGAACUAUUCGGAUGGCUGCCAGAUGGUGAUUUUUCCAGUCACAUCAUUGUAACUUCAUUAUUGGUUAGCUUUUCAUCCUUUGGAAGAGAUGUAUAUUUCCUCAUUUGUUUGCUCACUUAUUUAAUCUGCAUGGAUACUUAGAUUACUCUUUUAUCCAGUGGGCUGUUGUUACCUGUUUACUUCUGUU